GCGCCCGUAGCUCAAUUGGAUAGAGUGACUGACUACGAAUCAGUAGGUUGGAGGUUCGAGCCCUCCCGGGCGCGCCA
rnacentral:tRNA from 1 species